CCUACGGGUGGCAGCAGUGAGGAAUAUUGGUCAAUGGACGUAAGCCUGAACCAGCCAAGCCGCGUGCGGGAUGAAGGUUCUAUGAGUCGUAAACCGCUUUUGUACGAGGAUAAAGUCUGAGACGCGUCCUAUUCUGUAUGUACCUUAUGAAUAAGGAUCGGCUAACUCCGUGCCAGCAGCCGCGGUAAUACGGAGGAUCCAAGCGUUAUCCGGAUUUAUUGGGUUUAAAGGGUGCGUAGGCGGGCGGUUAAGUUAGCGGUGAAAGUCCGAGGCUCAACUUUGGAAUUGCCGUUGAAACUGGGCGGCUAGAGAGUGGUUGCGGUAGGCGGAAUGUAUGGGGUAGCGGUGAAAUGCUUAGAGAUCAUACAGAACACCGAUUGCGAAGGCAGCUUACCAAGCCACUACUGACGGUGAGGCACGAAAGCGUGGGGAUCAAACAGGAUUAGAUACCCCUGUAGUC
rnacentral:rRNA from 1 species